ncrna:unclassified sequences uup RNA
GAACCAUGAGCUCCGUGCAAAUCGAGUCGAUGAAGCAUUGUGCGGAGC